GCUGUCCCAACUGGGGAGGACUCGGGGAUGCGGAGAUGGAUGGUACCUGUCAAAGAGACAAAGAGCCAUUCAGGACCCCCGCAAGCUGGAACACAUGCAUGAAGUAACACUGUGUGACACAAUAGCUGGCUUUGAACAUGACACCUCUUUGAACAGUCUUCUCCAGUGUGUCCAGAGAAGAGUACUACAGCACUCCCGUCCUACACAACAAUGGAAAUACCAUAAUCUUCUAUAUACGUAUUGAAACAAUAAAAAUGAUUUUUAAAAAUUGUGGAAAAA